UACGGGGGGGAGCAAGCGUUGUUCGGAUUUACUGGGCGUAAAGCGCGCGUAGGCGGCCCGGUAAGUCCGCUGUAAAAGUCAAAGGCUCAACCUUUGAAUGCCGGUGGAUACUGUCGGGCUAGAGUCCGGAAGAGGCGAGUGGAAUUCCUGGUGUAGCGGUGGAAUGCGCAGAUAUCAGGAGGAACACCGAUAGCGAAGGCAGCUCGCUGGGACGGUACUGACGCUCGAGGCGCGGAAAGC
rnacentral:rRNA from 1 species